rnacentral:rRNA from 2 species
AGCCUGAUGCAGCCAUGCCGCGUGUGUGAAGAAGGCCUUCGGGUUGUAAAGCACUUUCAGUCAGGAGGAAAGGUUAGUAGUUAAUACCUGCUAGCUGUGACGUUACUGACAGAAGAAGCACCGGCUAACUCCGUGCCAGCAGCCGCGGUAAUACGGAGGGUGCGAGCGUUAAUCGGAAUUACUGGGCGUAAAGCGUACGCAGGCGGUUUGUUAAGCGAGAUGUGAAAGCCCCGGGCUCAACCUGGGAACUGCAUUUCGAACUGGCAAACUAGAGUGUGAUAGAGGGUGGUAGAAUUUCAGGUGUAGCGGUGAAAUGCGUAGAGAUCUGAAGGAAUACCGAUGGCGAAGGCAGCCACCUGGGUCAACACUGACGCUCAUGUACGAAAGCGUGGGGAGCAAACAGGAUUAGAUACCCUGGUAGUCCACGCCGUAAACGAUGUCUACUAGAAGCUCGGAACCUCGGUUCUGUUUUUCAAAGCUAACGCAUUAAGUAGACCGCCUGGG